ACGGGAGGCAGCAGUGGGGAAUAUUGCACAAUGGGCGCAAGCCUGAUGCAGCGAUGCCGCGUGAGGGAAGAAGGUUUUCGGAUUGUAAACCUCUGUCAUCGGGGGCGAUAAUGACUGUACCCGAGAAGGAAGCUCCGGCUAACUACGUGCCAGCAGCCGCGGUAAUACGUAGGGAGCGAGCGUUAUCCGGAAUUACUGGGUGUAAAGGGAGUGUAGGCGGGACUGUAAGUCAGAUGUGAAAUAUACCGGCUCAACUGGUAGACUGCAUUUGAAACUGCGGUUCUUGAGUGAAGUAGAGGUAAGCGCAAUUCCUAGUGUAGCGGUGAAAUGCGUAGAUAUUAGGAGGACCAUCAGUGGCGAAGGCGGCUUACUGGGCUUUAACUGACGCUGAGGCUCGAAAGCGUGGUGAGCAACCAGGAUUAGAUACCCUGGUU
rnacentral:rRNA from 1 species